GUCUUAAUUGGGCGUUAAGUUGCAGGGUAUAGACCCGAAACCCGGUGAUCUAGCCAUGGGCAGGUUGAAGGUUGGGUAACACUAACUGGAGGACCGAACCGACUAAUGUUGAAAAAUUAGCGGAUGACCUGUGGCUGGGGGUGAAAGGCCAAUCAAACCGGGAGAUAGCUGGUUCUCCCCGAAAGCUAUUUAGGUAGCGCCUCGUGAAUUCAUCUCCGGGGGUAGAGCACUGUUUCGGCUAGGGGGCCAUCCCGGCUUACCAACCCGAUGCAAACUGCGAAUACCGGAGAAUGUUAUCACGGGAGACACACGGCGGGUGCUAACGUCCGUCGUGAAGAGGGAAACAACCCAGACCGCCAGCUAAGGUCCCAAAGUCAUGGUUAAGUGGGAAACGAUGUGGGAAGGCCCAGACAGCCAGGAUGUUGGCUUAGAAGCAGCCAUCAUUUAAAGAAAGCGUAAUAGCUCACUGGUCGAGUCGGCCUGCGCGGAAGAUGUAACGGGGCUAAACCAUGCACCGAAGCUGCGGCAGCGAACGUAUCACCCAAGACAACUUUACGGAGUUGACGAUUGACGGAGCGAAGCGACGUCAAAGCGUUCAUUAAAGUCGAGUUGGCUUAGGGAUACGUUCGUUGGGUAGGGGAGCGUUCUGUAAGCCUGUGAAGGUGUGUCGUGAGGCAUGCUGGAGGUAUCAGAAGUGCGAAUGCUGACAUAAGUAACGAUAAAGCGGGUGAAAAGCCCGCUCGCCGGAAGACCAAGGGUUCCUGUCCAACGUUAAUCGGGGCAGGGUGAGUCGACCCCUAAGGCGAGGCCGAAAGGCGUAGUCGAUGGGAAACGGGUUAAUAUUCCCGUACUUGGUGUUACUGCGAAGGGGGGACGGAGAAGGCUAUGUUGGCCGGGCGACGGUUGUCCCGGUUUAAGCGUGUAGGUGUGUGUUCCAGGUAAAUCCGGUUCACUUUAACACUGAGGCGUGACGACGAGGCACUACGGUGCUGAAGCAACAAAUGCCCUGCUUCCAGGAAAAGCCUCUAAGCAUCAGGUAACACGAAAUCGUACCCCAAACCGACACAGGUGGUCAGGUAGAGAAUACCAAGGCGCUUGAGAGAACUCGGGUGAAGGAACUAGGCAAAAUGGUGCCGUAACUUCGGGAGAAGGCACGCUGACACGUAGGUGAAGUGAUUUACUCAUGGAGCUGAAGUCAGUCGAAGAUACCAGCUGGCUGCAACUGUUUAUUAAAAACACAGCACUGUGCAAACACGAAAGUGGACGUAUACGGUGUGACGCCUGCCCGGUGCCGGAAGGUUAAUUGAUGGGGUCAGCGCAAGCGAAGCUCCUGAUCGAAGCCCCGGUAAACGGCGGCCGUAACUAUAACGGUCCUAAGGUAGCGAAAUUCCUUGUCGGGUAAGUUCCGACCUGCACGAAUGGCGUAAUGAUGGCCAGGCUGUCUCCACCCGAGACUCAGUGAAAUUGAACUCGCUGUGAAGAUGCAGUGUACCCGCGGCAAGACGGAAAGACCCCGUGAACCUUUACUAUAGCUUGACACUGAACAUUGAGCCUUGAUGUGUAGGAUAGGUGGGAGGCUUUGAAGUGUGGACGCCAGUCUGCAUGGAGCCGACCUUGAAAUACCACCCUUUAAUGUUUGAUGUUCUAACGUGGACCCGUAAUCCGGGUUGCGGACAGUGUCUGGUGGGUAGUUUGACUGGGGCGGUCUCCUCCUAAAGAGUAACGGAGGAGCACGAAGGUUGGCUAAUCCUGGUCGGACAUCAGGAGGUUAGUGCAAUGGCAUAAGCCAGCUUGACUGCGAGCGUGACGGCGCGAGCAGGUGCGAAAGCAGGUCAUAGUGAUCCGGUGGUUCUGAAUGGAAGGGCCAUCGCUCAACGGAUAAAAGGUACUCCGGGGAUAACAGGCUGAUACCGCCCAAGAGUUCAUAUCGACGGCGGUGUUUGGCACCUCGAUGUCGGCUCAUCACAUCCUGGGGCUGAAGUAGGUCCCAAGGGUAUGGCUGUUCGCCAUUUAAAGUGGUACGCGAGCUGGGUUUAGAACGUCGUGAGACAGUUCGGUCCCUAUCUGCCGUGGGCGCUGGAGAACUGAGGGGGGCUGCUCCUAGUACGAGAGGACCGGAGUGGACGCAUCACUGGUGUUCGGGUUGUCAUGCCAAUGGCACUGCCCGGUAGCUAAAUGCGGAAGAGAUAAGUGCUGAAAGCAUCUAAGCACGAAACUUGCCCCGAGAUGAGUUCUCCCUGAGACUUAGAGUCUCCUGAAGGAACGUUGAAGACGACGACGUUGAUAGGCCGGGUGUGUAAGCGCAGCGAUGCGUUGAGCUAACCGGUACUAAUGAACCGUGAGGCUUAACCUUACAACGCCGAAG
rnacentral:rRNA from 1 species